rnacentral:rRNA from 1 species
AUGCACGCUGGCGGCGUGCUUAACACCUGCCAGUCGAACGGAAAGGCUCCUGCUUGCAGGGGUACUCGAGUGGCGAACGGGUGAGUAACACGUGGGUGAUCUGCCCUGCACUUCGGGAUAAGCCUGGGAAACUGGGUCUAAUACCGGAUAGGACGAUGGUUUGGAUGCCAUUGUGGAAAGUUUUUUCGGUGUGGGAUGAGCUCGCGGCCUAUCAGCUUGUUGGUGGGGUAAUGGCCUACCAAGGCGUCGACGGGUAGCCGGCCUGAGAGGGUGUACGGCCACAUUGGGACUGAGAUACGGCCCAGACUCCUACGGGAGGCAGCAGUGGGGAAUAUUGCACAAUGGGCGCAAGCCUGAUGCAGCGACGCCGCGUGGGGGAUGACGGCCUUCGGGUUGUAAACUCCUUUCGCUAGGGACGAAGCGCAAGUGACGGUACCUGGAGAAGAAGCACCGGCUAACUACGUG